ACGGAGGAUGCCUUGGAUUCCAGAGGCGAUGAAGGACGCGUUAGGCUGCGAUAAGCCGUGGUGAGGUGCCUAAAAACCUUUGAUCCGCGGAUUUCCGAAUAGGACAACCUAUUAGAGCCCCUUCGGGGGAGGCGAACGAGGGGAACUGAAACAUCUAAGUACCCUUAGGAGAAGAAAACAAAAGUGAUUUCCUGAGUAGCGGCGAGCGAAAUGGAACUAGCCCAAACCAUUUUGAUUUCGGUCAAAGUGGGGUUGUAGGACUUUCAACAUCUGUAAUUAUACUGAACUGGAACACGUUGGGAAGCGUGGCAAUAUACGGUGAUAGCCCAGUACAGGUAAAGUAUGUUAUGGUAGAAAGACUCCUGAGUAGGGCGGGGCACGUGAAACCCUGUCUGAAUCUGCCGGGACCAUCCGGUAAGGCUAAAUACUCCUGGAAUACCGAUAGUGAACAAGUACCGUGAGGGAAAGGUGAAAAGUACCCCUAACAGGGGAGUGAAAUAGACCUGAAACCGUGCGCUUACAAGCGGUCGGAGCUCUUCGGAGUGACGGCGUGCCUUUUGCAUAAUGAGCCUACGAGUUACUGCUCACUGGCAAGGUUAAGUUAAUAACGGAGCCGAAGCGAAAGCGAGUCUUAACAGGGCGUGCAGUCAGUGGGCGUAGACGCGAAACCCGGUGAUCUACCCAUGGGCAGGUUGAAGUUGUGGUAACACACAAUGGAGGACCGAACCAGUUGACGUUGAAAAGUCUUUGGAUGACCUGUGGGUAGGGGUGAAAGGCCAAUCAAA
rnacentral:rRNA from 1 species